UAACUAUUUCUCUGGAUCAUUAGGAUUAUAAGCCAUCGGUCCAUAGCAGACCAGAGAGACGUUUACCAGUGAAGGAGUGUGUCAGCAGCAGCAAAUGAUUCCUAACUGAUCCUAGCGGACACUUUCUAUCAGCGAGUAGCUAAUGCAUUUAUAUCCCUCUCUGACGUCAGCCCAGUAUAACUGACUACAACAUCCUGGAUAUCAAGUUGGCAUGUACUUGACGAUGGAAAGGAACCAUGGAUCUACAAUACAUUCACGAUAGAUCUUCUAAUCCAGACGAGAGAGUCAGAUAUUGAUGCAUAAUGGCAGUGGAGGUUUAUACCCAGUAUAGACCGUAUUGAAUAACCCCUUUGCUGCUAUGAAAGUCGCCAUCUUGUAGGGCAAACCAUA